UUACGGUCCGGUUUACGAGGCUCCCAGAGGCCGGAUGAAAUCUACCGGGCGCUGACGGGAUUACGAGCCGUGGGUGGAGGAGACGAGGCUGAGCUCAGCAUGUCCGCCCUCAGGCUGGCCCUGCACCACGCCCCGCCCCACGCCCACGUCUUCCUCUUCACGGACGCUUCUGUCAAGGACCCCGAGCUCUUUGACACGGUGGUGGCCCUCGCGCACGCCAAGAGCAUCAAGGUGACGCCCGUGUUGACGAUGCCAGUCGACUACGGCGGGAUCAGCGGCAGGAUGCUUCUCCCGGAGAUCGAGGACGAGGACGAGGAGGAGAACGU